rnacentral:rRNA from 1 species
UACAGAGGAGCCAAGCGUUGUCCGGAUUGACUGGGCGUAAAGCGCACGCAGGCGGACGCGCGCGUGGGGUGUGAAAUCUGGCCGCUUAACGGCCAGGCGCCAUCCCAUACGGCGCGUCUGGAGCAAUGCAGAGGUCGGUGGAAUUGCCGGUGUAGUGGUGAAAUGCGUAGAGAUCGGCAGGAACACCCAGGGGAAACCGAGCCGAC